UCAGGAUGAACGCUGGCGGCGUGCCUAACACAUGCAAGUCGAGCGGCAGCGCGAGUAGUUUACUACUUGGCGGCGAGCGGCGGACGGCUGAGUAACGCGUGGGAAUUUGCCCCAAAGUGAGGAAUAACUGCCCGAAAGGGUGGCUAAUGCCGCAUAUGAUCUUCGGAUUAAAGGAUUUAUCCGCUUUGGGAGAAGCCCGCGUCGGAUUAGGUAGUUGGUGAGGUAAUGGCUCACCAAGCCGACGAUCCGUAGCUGGUCUGAGAGGAUGACCAGCCAGACUGGAACUGAGACACGGUCCAGACUCCUACGGGAGGCAGCAGUGAGGAAUCUUCCACAAUGGGCGAAAGCCUGAUGGAGCAACGCCGCGUGCAGGAUGAAGGCCUUCGGGUUGUAAACUGCUUUUAUAAGUGAGGAAUAUGACGGUAGCUUAUGAAUAAGGAUCGGCUAACUACGUGCCAGCAGCCGCGGUCAUACGUAGGAUCCGAGCGUUAUCCGGAGUGACUGGGCGUAAAGAGUUGCGUAGGCGGUUUGUUAAGUGAAUAGUGAAAUCUGGUGGCUCAACCAUACAGGCUAUUAUCAAACUGGCAAACUCGAGAGUGGUAGAGGUCACUGGAAUUUCUUGUGUAGGAGUGAAAUCCGUAGAUAUAAGAAGGAACACCGAUGGCGUAGGCAGGUGACUGGACCAUUUCUGACGCUAAGGCACGAAAGCGUGGGGAGCGAACCGGAUUAGAUACCCGGUUAGUCCACGCCGUAACCGAUGGAUACUGSCUSUUGGAGGUAUCGACCCCUUCAAUAGCGAAGCUAACGCGUUAAGUAUCCCGCCUGUGGAGUACGGUCGCAAGACUAAAACAUAAAGGAAUUGACGGGGACCCGCACAAGCGGUGGAUCGUGUUCUUUAAYUCGAUGCUAAACGAAGAACCUUACCAGGGCUUGACAUCCAGGGAAUUUUUGGGAAACCAAUUAGUGCCUUUUGGAACCCUGUGACAGGUGAUGCAUGGCCGUCGUCAGCUCGUGUCGUGAGAUGUUUGGUUAAGUCCAUCAACGAGCGCAACCCUUGCAACUAGUUGGAUUUUUCUAGUUGGACUGCUUCGGUAACGGAGAGGAAGGAGGGGAUGAUGUCAGGUCAGUAUUUCCCUUACGUCCUGGGCUAGAAACACGAUACAAUGGCUAGUACAAUGCGCAGCGAAGCCGCGAGGUGGAGCAAAUCGCAUCAAAGCUAGUCCCAGUUCGGAUUGGAGGCUGAAACUCGCCUCCAUGAAGUCGGAAUCGCUAGUAAUU
rnacentral:rRNA from 1 species